AGCAGCCGCGGUAAUUCCAGCUCCAAUAGCGUAUAUUAAAGUUGUUGCAGUUAAAAAGCUCGUAGUUGAAUUUCGGGGUUAGUAGGUUGGUCAUGCCUCUGGUAUGUACUGGUCUCACUGAUUCCUCCUUCCUUAUGAACCGUAAUGCCAUUAAUUUGGUGUUGCGGGAAAUUUGGACUGUUACUUUAGAAAAAUUAGAGUGUUUAAAGCAAGCUAACGCUUGAAUACAUUAGCAUGGAAUAAUGAAACAGGACGUUCGAUCUUAUUUUGUUGGUUUCUAGGAUUGACGUAAUGAUUAAUAGGGAUAGUUGGGGGGCAUUAGUAUUCAAUUGUCAGAGGUGAAAUUCUUGGAUUUAUUGAAGACUAACUACUGCGAAAGCAUUUGCCAAGGAUGUUUUCAUUAAUCAAGAACGAAAGUUAGGGGAUCGAAGACGAUCAGAUACCGUCGUA
rnacentral:rRNA from 1 species